AGAGGGAUUUUGUGCAUAACGUUAUUAAUUUUCUUAGGAAGCAGAAGAUAAGGAAACGUGCGACAGAGAAGCGGGGUGGCCUGCUGGUGCGCAGGGCUGAGAGAAAAGCUCCACAAGGAAAACUUCACACUGAAACGGCACCAAAUCUUUUUCAUUAUGAACAAUCUCUAUGCAUUUAUUCCGCCAAGAAACAGAAUCUACCCCUGAAUCUUAUCAUUCAAAGUAACUCUGAAUGGAGUAGGAAGUAGAACAGAGUUAAAUUAAGUUUCAGACCAGGAAGUGCUGCCCAAGACAGUGCCUCACGGCACAGGUUUCUGUCUCGUCUGAUCUGAUUUUUCAGAAGUCAACAUCCACCCACAUAUAAAUGUAGCUAUAAAAAAGCCCCAUCAAGGGGCCAGCACUGUGGUGCAGCAGGUAAAGCUGCUGCCUGCAGUGCCGAUAACCCAUAUGGGCGCUGGUUCAAGUCUCCACUGUCCCACGUCCCAUCCAGCUCUUUGCUAUGGCCUGGGAAAGCAGCAGAAGAUGGCCCAAUUCCAUGGGCUCCUGAACCCUCAUGGAAGACCUUGAAGAAGCUCCCUUUCCCUCUGAGCCUGAAGGCAGGUGUGUCUCCCUGACCCUCUGUGCUGGAAGACAGGUGUGUCUCCCUGUCCCUCUGAGCCAGAAGACAGGUGUGUCUCCCUGCCCCUCUGUGCCGGAAGACAGGUGUGUCCCUGUCCCUCUGUGCCGGAAGACAGGUGUGUCUCCCUGUCCCUCUGUGCUGGAAGACAGGUGUGUCUCCCUGUCCCUCUGUGCUGGAAGACAGGUGUGUCCCUGUCCCUCUGUGCCGGAAGACAGGUGUGUCUCCCUGUCCCCCUGAGCUGGAAGACAGGUGUGUCUCCCUGUCCCUCUGUGCCGGAAGACAGGUGUGUCUCCCUGUCCCUCUGUGCCGGAAGACAGGUGUGUCCCUGUCCCUCUGAGCCUGAAGACAGGUGUGUCCCUGUCCCUCUGUGCCGGAAGACAGGUGUGUCUCCCUGUCCCCCUGAGCCGGAAGACAGGUGUGUCUCCCUGUCCCUCUGAGCCGGAAGACAGGUGUGUCUCCCUGUCCCUCUGUGCCGGAAGACAGGUGUGUCUCCCUGUCCCUCUGAGCCGGAAGACAGGUGUGUCUCCCUGUCCCUCUGUGCCGGAAGACAGGUGUGUCUCCCUGUCCCUCUGUGCCGGAAGACAGGUGUGUCUCCCUGUCCCUCUGAGCCAGAAGACAGGUGUGUCUCCCUGUCCCUCUGUGCCGGAAGACAGGUGUGUCUCCCUGUCCCUCUGAGCCGGAAGACAGGUGUGUCUCCCUGUCCCUCUGUGCCGGAAGACAGGUGUGUCUCCCUGUCCCUCUGUGCCGGAAGACAGGUGUGUCUCCCUGUCCCUCUGAGCCGGAAGACAGGUGUGUCUCCCUGUCCCUCUGUGCCGGAAGACAGGUGUGUCUCCCUGUCCCUCUGUGCCGGAAGACAGGUGUGUCUCCCUGUCCCUCUGAGCCAGAAGACAGGUGUGUCUCUGCCCCUCUGAGCCUGAAGACAGGUGUGUCUCCCUGCCCCUCUGAGCCUGAAGACAGGUGUGUCCCUGUCCCUCUGAGCUGGAAGACAGGUGUGUCUCCCUGUCCCUCUGAGCUGGGAGAGUGCCCAUCCUCCCAGUGAGGACAACAGCCUGCCAUCCCCCAGCUUCCUCUGGCAUAUCCCUCAGGUGUGUGUGUGACUGAUAGGGAUCAAGGGCUCACAGUUCCAGAUCAGGGAUCCUCUGCCUCAGCUGGAUAAUACAACCAGUAAAGCCAACAGUGAAAGGAAAAGCACACAGCACAGACUCAAAGAAACAGAACGCACAUUUCUGUAUUGGUAUCAACUCUUCACUGGACAAGACAAUAGAGAAUCCUCGCUAACAGAGGAUAAAUUCUUACCCUGUGAACUGACAUACUGAGGACCUACAGUAUCUGAACGAGAACUGAAAGACAGAAAGUAAACUGUCUCACACCAGGGAGACUUCCCCUGGCGCAUGCCGUUCUCACUCCUAGGAUGCGCUCCGAGAGGGUACACACUGCUCUGCCUACAGCCCUCAUGGCUGUCUGCUCUGAUA